CCUACGGGAGGCAGCAGUGGGGAAUUUUCCGCAAUGGGCGAAAGCCUGACGGAGCGACGCUGCGUGAAGGAUGACGGCCUGCGGGUUGUAAACUUCUUUUCUCGAAGAAGAAUAAAUGACGGUAUUCGAGGAAUAAGCAUCGGCUAACUCUGUGCCAGCAGCCGCGGUAAGACAGAGGAUGCAAGUGUUAUUCGGAUUGAUUGGGCGUAAAGCGUCUGUAGGCGGUUUGGAAAGUCUUUUGUGAAAUUCUUCAGCUCAACUGGGGGUCCGCAAAAGAAACUUCUAGGCUUGAGGGAAGUAGAGGUACAGGGAAUUUCCGGUGGAGCGGUGAAAUGCGUAGAUAUCGGAAGGAACACCAAUAUGGCGAAGGCACUGUACUGGGCUUUACCUGACGCUAAGAGACGAAAGCUAAAGGAGUGAUUAGGAUUAGAUACCCUAGUAAUUUUAGCCGUAAACGAUGGAAACUCACUGCCGAGCCGGUAUUCGGAGCGGUGGUCAAGCUAACGCGUGAAGUUUCCCGCCUGGGGACUACGCAUGCAAAUGUGAAACUCAAAGGAAUUGACGG
rnacentral:rRNA from 1 species